rnacentral:lncRNA from 1 species
GAAAGAUCACGACAUGUAACCCGAUCAUAUAUCCUAAUGUCUAGUAAACCACAUAUAUUAAAGUCUAAGGUGCACAAUUUCGCAAAGAUUGUUCGAUUGAUACUUUAUUUGCUUUGAUAAAAAGAUAACAUAAUGGAGAGAUAAGCCUACUACUGAGAAACAUCAAUACAAAUAGUGUAGUUUUCUUAUUAUGUUGCCGCACAAAAUUAUAUAUGGCGAUUUUUUUUUUUUUUUUCAUUCUACCGGUCGCCAUUUCACAACAAAUAGACACCUCGCUAGGCCAGGCAAGGCACACGGCCGUCGUUCCACAAAAACACCAUCCUUUGCACACUGGCCUCCAUUCUUGGCAAACCCCCAUCUCCGGAUUAGAUCCACCCAAACCAAACCAGUUUGGAGUCUUUCGCUCAUAUCUGAGCUUCGAUGAUCUUCGCCUCAUCGUCCUCCCACUAGGUUGUCCACUCUUGAAUCUAAGGUAGAGCAAAACCAUCCUUGCCUGCCAGCCUUCCAACCAACGAUGCCCAUACCCAAAACGACCACAAAGCAGUCGGGACAACAAUACGAUCACCAAGCAGUUUCCUCCUUGACUAAGAAUAUUCUGCGACCACCCACCACUAGAAAUAAAGGUGGCAAACCGGCUGUUAAGCACGGACACGACACGUUUAAAAACGGCCUGACACGGCCCAAGCCCGUUAAUGGCCCGGCCCAGCCCAAGCAAGUUAUUCUAAUGGGUCGGGUUGGGCCUGGAAAAAUGAGCCCAUGGGCCCGGCCCGGCCCGAGCACGAUAAUUUGAGGCCCACGGCCCGGCCCGCUUUAAAAUAUAAUUUUUUUCCAUUUAUAAUAUGAAGAUAAAUAUUUAUAAAUAAUAAACUUAGUUUUGAGUGUGAACCAUAUACUUAUAUACUAAUAACUAUUUAUUUGAGUAUGAAUUUGAAUUCCCUCACUACCAGAAGAAAGGCUUUAGCCGAUGAAAAUAAAAAAACCAGGCCGACGAAUUAUUUUUUUGUCGGCUAAAGUCACUUUAGCCGACGAAAUUUUCCUUCGUCGGCUAUAGUCAACUUUAGCCGACGAAAUUAAAAUUUCGUCGGCUGAAUAAUUUUUUUCGUCGGCUAUAGUCUGUGAACUUUAGCCGACGAAAUUUUUAAAAGUUUAGCCAAUGAAAAAUAUAAUUUCGUCGGCUAAAGUUCCUUAUAUUUGCAGAUCUUGACAACAACUCAUCUGGGAAAAAAAAACUAUACGUAGAACCUUCAAACGCAAAAAAGUCGUAAAAUAAGAUAUGACCAGAAUGGUGAAAUACGUCUACGGUUGAAAAAUCAUGGUAUUCCGGUAAAGUCUCGGUGCCGAUAGUUGCGGUCAAUGCAAUUUACCCUUAUUAUUCACUAUGCUGCAGAUUUGGCGUUUGGUGUCCGAUUGACUAUGGUGAUACCUUUCCGGAAGCGUAACGGCCCUACGAGUCAAACAAAUGGCUAAUGCCAUGACAUAUGGGUCUUUUUGGCCAUCCGAGUCCUUUUAGGGCUUCAAAAUGUAGUUUUCUUAUUUCCGAUUAGAGUUGACUGUUUCGAUCGAGCCCUUAACGUUGUCGAUCCAGUUGAAUUUUUUACCAUAGAUAUCUUUCGUCAUAAUGAUCAUAUCUGACGAUCGAAUUUUGGUUUGUAAAUUUUAGUCAUCGGAAUCACAACGUGUCUACUAUUUACCGUUAUUAUUCCCUAUGGGGAACCCUAUCGUCGGAAGGUAAAUGUCUCAAAAUUUUUAUAUGGGAAGUUGCGUCUCAUCUACGUGAGAGUUUUUCAUGUGGAAGGUUUGACCAAACUACGUAAUAUAGAGGGAGAUAUGAGCGUUUUCGUGUGAUAAGUGACGAUGGAUUAUGGUUGACCGUUUCGAUCGAGCCCUUAACGUUGUCGGAUCUAGUUGAAUUUUUAACCAUAGACAUUUUUCAUCAUAAUGAUCAUAUCUAACGGUCGAAUUUUGGUUUGUGAAUUUUAGUCAUCAGAAUCACAACGUGUCUAUUAAUGUUGUAUAACUUGUUUAAUAGGUUAUACAACUUUGUGAACCAACUCUACAUAGGAAGCAAAAUUAUCAAAAAUCUCGUGAAAUAAGAUGUGUUCAGAAUGGUGAAAUACGGCUGUGGUUCAAAAAUCACGUAAAUCGGGUAAAGUCUCGGUGCCGAUAGUAGCGGUCAACCCUAUUUACAAUUAUUAUUCCUUGUGGGGAGCCCUAUCGUCGAAAGGUAAAUGUCUCAAAAUUUUUAUAUAGGCGGUUGUGUCUCAUCUACGUGAAAGUUUUUCGUGUGGAAGGUUUGACCAAACUACGUAAUAUAGAGGGAGAUAUGAGCGUUUUUGUGAAUUUAUAGACUUUAGCCGACGAGAUAUUACAAAAGUCGUCGGCUAAGGUCAAAAUUUUUUUUGUGGUAAACCAAAUUUGGAGGAAAAUUUUCAAAGGACUUUAGCCGACGAAAAUAUAUAAAAAGUCAUCGGCUAAAGUCGAAAAAAAAUUUGGCGGCAAACCAAACUCUUUUGAAAAUUUUCAAAGGACUUUAGCCGACGAAAAUAUAUGAAAAGUCGUCGGCUAAAGUCGAAAAUUUUCAACCAAAAUUUUUUGGCGGUCAACUAAAAUUUUCAAAAGAGUUUAGCCGACGAAAAUAAAGAAUUUCGUCGGGUAAAGUUUUUUAUAUAGGAGUUUUACCACACUUGAGACUGCCACAUUUGAGUUUUUCUUCUCGGCCUAGCUCCGCCGUCAAGCCACCGGAGACCGCCACACUUGUGCCUAAAGCUUCAUCGUCGUCUCUACUUCAUUGUUGGACAGGUGGUGCAUCGAGUGGCGCCGCCGUGAGGGAUAAAUCGAGCUCCAAAACUCCGCCGGUUCGGAUUCGGUGUCGAUCGAAUUUCUCCUUCCUCAGGUCACCAUUUGGUGAGUUCUAUAUAUGGAUAAGUUGAGUUUGAUUAGUACUACAUUCCCCUAGAAUUUGGUAGCUCGAUUCGGUGUGUGUGAGGAAAAUCGAAGAUUUGAAGUUUUUAGGGUUUAAAAUUAGGGAUUUUUAUAUUUUGAUUCAAUUGACCUGUUUAGGCUUAGAAUUGGGCUUCGACUUUUUCUAGAAAGUUGUUCGAAAUGUUGAGAGGAAGAUUCUGUCAAAUUUUGGUGGUGAUUGGAGGUGGCCGAAAUUUUCUGCAUUUUUUUUUUUCAAAAACCAGCAACUUUAGCCGACGAUAUUUAAAUAUUUUAGCCGACGAUAUUUAUAUGAUAUUGGUCGGCUAUAGUAUUUUUUUAAUUUUUUUAUAAGGUUUAGCUGACGAAUUAUGGCAUGUUUCGUCGGCUGUAGUUAUUUUUUUAUAUUUUUUAUAAGGUUUAGCCGACGAAACAGACUAUAUUUCGUCGGCUAUAGUUAUUUUUUUAUUUUUUAUUACACACUUUAGCCGACGAAUAUCUUAAUUGUUUCGUCGGCUAAAGUCUGAGAAAAAAACCAGCGACAUGUUUUUCUUCGGCUAAACUGUGGGACUAUAGCCGACGACUUCUUUUGGUUUUGUCGGCUAAAGUCACCACAGACGACCUUUUCCCGACGAAAUCUUAGCCGACGAGCUUUCGUCGGCUAAGAUCUUAGCCGAUGAAUUAAGCUAACAGGCCAACGAAAUUUUUUCGUCGGCUAAAGUGCUUGUCCUGGUAGAGCCUUAGACUCAUAAGAAGUUUUUGUCUAAAAAUUUAUUAAUUGUGAACAAUAAACAUUUAUCACUUAUUUCUUUAGUUUGUUGACAAAGAAAAAAAUGAUCGAUAGAUUGUGUGAAUUAGUUUUGGUUUGUAAUCGUUUCAUAUAUAAUUAAAAGUUGAGAUUAUAAAAGUAGAAGCGGUGGUAUAAGACAUUCACCUCGACCAUUUUCAAUUUUCGGCAUGAAACGGGCCCAACACGGCCCGUUCAUGGGCCUGACCCGGCCCGAGCACAGCCCACCACGUUAUAGGCUUGGGCCGUGGGUCGGGCUAGACCUUACAUUUAAGUAAAUGGACCGGCCCAAGCCCGUUAAGAAGUGUCAUGUCAUGGGCUGACCCAAGCACGACCCGAAACCUAAUUAGGCGGGCCAGCCCGGCCUGUUUGCCACCUCUAAUCAAAAACUAGGUCUUCAGCCCGUCCGAGGACGACGCCGUGAAGGUGUUGCUCAGUGCGUGACGCUUUGUUGUCUUUUAUCUCCGCUAGAUUUUUGGUAUUUGUUACGUGCCAUGCAUUAUUAGCAUUAGUAAUAUCUCUGUUUUUUUUUUUAACAAUAAAGUUCGGAAAGGGAGAGGCAACCAUGUACCCAAGCCCAAGCACUAAUUUGAAAACCAUAGAGGCUCCGAAUCGACUAACUUCCCAUCAGGAGACCGACCAACUUGUGGGAGUGUGAGAGUGGAAAUACAUUGCAGAGUAGUCCCAAACUGCGGACCAUCGUUAUGCCUAAUAAGUAGCAAGACUCACCCACAUCAAUAACAAUAGAGACUCGACUUCUUUUUCUUUUUUAUCGAAAUCACAUAUGUUCUCAAAGAUUUUUGAGGCUUUCAAACUAAUUCAUGUUUGGAGAUCAUCAUAUCUAAACAUUUUAUUCUCUGAUAACCAUUAGAUAAAAAUUUAACUUUGAUCAACAUCAACGAAAUUCGAACUAGAUACAAAAUUUCAUACUUAAGCUAUUACAAACUUAACCACCAGUAGUGGUUGAUGAGACUCUUGAACUUACAUAAAGGUCCUUCAGCCCAAUCCGGCCAACCAUCAUUGGCAGCAUUGGUCAUACCCACAUCAUUGAUAGAAUACAUUUUCGAAAGAGAGUUAUACCUUACAAGAGUUUGCAUGAUCAGAACCCCUAGCCGCCUGUGUUUGAACCAAAGAAGAAAAU